GCCAGGCAUGGUUGUGCAUGCCUGUAGUCCCAGCUACUUGGGAGGCUGAGGCAUGAGAAUCACUUGAGCCCAGGAGUUCAAAGCUGCAGUAAGCUGUGUUUGUGCCACUGCACGCCAGCCUGGGCAACAAAGUAAGACCCUGUCUCAA
ensembl:misc_RNA Metazoa_SRP Metazoan signal recognition particle RNA